rnacentral:lncRNA from 1 species
UGGUUAUCGUAUAAUUCAUCUCUUUGACCCUCAGUGCUUAGAAUGACUCAUAGUUAAACUGUUAACUCUUAAUUAAUACAUCCAUAGUGUGUCUCAAUCUCAUAAAUCCUGUGACUCUCACAAGGACUAUCUUGGCCAAGAUUUUUUUGAGUUGAAAUAUAAUGUAGCACUAAUUCCUAAAAUCAGGGGUGGUCAAUCCCAUCUUGACUCAC